rnacentral:misc_RNA from 1 species
UCCGGCUUAUCACCGGCAGUCCCACUAGAGUGCCCAACUUAAUGAUGGCAACUAAUGGCAAGGGUUGCGCUCGUUGCAGGACUUAACCUAACACCUCACGGCACGAGCUGACGACAGCCAUGCAGCACCUAGUUUCGUGUCCUUGCGGACUGACCCUUUUCGGGGUCAUUCACUAACUUUCAAGCCCAGGUAAGGUUCCUCGCGUAUCAUCGAAUUAAACCACAUGCUCCUCCGCUUGUGCGGGCCCCCGUCAAUUCCUUUGAGUUUCAAUCUUGCGACCGUAUUCCCCAGGUGGAUUACUUAAUGCUUUCGCUCAGACGCGUACAGUGUAUCGCACACAUCGAGUAAUCAUCGUUUAGGGCGUGGACUAC